UCAAAGGCUCUUUUAAGAGCCACCCACAAAUUCAAAUUCAAGGGC
rfam:Astyanax mexicanus Tnplaced_Scaffold4035, whole genome shotgun sequence.